GUCCGAAGGAUCGUGAACUGGCCCCCUGUUUAAAAAGUUUGGGGACCCCUGACCUACAGUUACAGAUUCAUAUUCCCAAAACCUAUGUACUCAUGCUUGUGCCGCUUUUGCUCAGGUUGUAAAGGUUCCCCAAUCCUGCAGCCACUGCGACAGCGGUCUGUUCUCCUGGCAAUUGAGGCAAGGAGAUGUUUCUAAACUCCUUCUUAUUAAUGAUCUCCAGAAUGAGGAGGAGUUGAGACAAGGAUCCUGCUUUUGAAUGUUACAGAGAUUGCUGGUUGAAGUGGGUGGAAAUGAAACUAUGGAUACUGGUCCCAAGAUGAAACAACCUUCUCCGACUACCAGAAGAUGAUGAUCACAUGCCCAUGGAAUGCGUGCCACAAAACACAUAUUGAAUUACCUGGGCGCAGCUGUUCCCAAGAAGGUGCAGCAAUUCACAAAAGUCUCAAGUUGCCUCUCUGAGAAUUUGCAGUCAUGCCAAGUUAGCAAGUUGAACAUAGCUCUUUCUGGGGCAAAUAGAUAUAAAUCUUGGUGUGAGAGGACAAAGAUGACUCUUGGUGCUCUGAAGUGGGCAAAAUGUAAAUAUCUGCUGGGGGAAUUCUGAAUACCAACAUAUGUGGAUCAAUGGGCAAUAUGUGUGAUUUACAAUCUAUAGUGCAAUGUAUGGAGAAAAUGCAUUGAGGCAAAGUGCUACCAUGUGUGCAAUAGUAAAUUCCGCAUAUACCUCCA